CAGAAAAUAGUUUAAAAUAAAAUAUUAAAUUUGGAGUUUAAAGAUUUCUUAUUUUCUGA
rnacentral:tRNA from 1 species